rnacentral:piRNA from 1 species
UCCUCUCGUAACUUUGAAUUU